CAGAACGAGAGAAUGAGCGUGAGAGGCAGCGCUGCCCCCUCUUCCCUGCAGCAGGAGCUCAGUACCACUCGGCAAUCCCAUCCGCCACACGCAACGUGGCAGCGACCGAGCCCCGCGCCCGACUUCCGUUUCCGGUGCUGAGCCGGUACCGUUGACUCUCCGGUUGCCCGGGAGCCCCUCGGAAACUAACAAUGCGAGGGGUCUCUGUUCCUUUUCUCUUCUAUUCUCGCCUAAGCUCCAGCUCUGCCUGACCCAGCGGCCAGCAGCCUGUCGGGUACAGCAGAAGCUCCCAAGUAGCUGAGAAGUUCGUGGAAUCUUCCUAUUGAUAAGGAUCCUGAGGUUUAAGGAAGCAAGUUGCUCAAAGGCACGUGGCAGAACUGUGACCCGAACCCAGACCAGUCUAACUCAGAAGUGUGCUAUUUCCACGACACCAAGCUUGCUCCCCUCCUAUGGGCCAAGCACUGUAAUCAGCGCUGAGGAUACUGAAGCGUUAAGACACGUGUUCAGGAAGAGCUCGUACUCCAGCAGAGGAGGCCUUCGGAAGAAGCGCAGAAGGCCCGGGGAAGAACCGUUACUGAUUUUCCCUUCCCCCAAUCAGAAACUUUUUGAAAAGCCUCUGAGGAGAGUCAGGACCCCUGAAAGGAGCACAUCGAGGCAGCAUCGCGUGGCAGUUUGGCGCGGGGACUCUGGGAGUCGGCAGGUGCCUGACACCCUGCGGUAAGUGCCUGGUCAGUUGUUACCAUCAGAAUCUCUGUCAUCCCCAGUUCUGACACCAAUUGCUCUGUUUCCUUGGGCAAAUUAGUUCAUUUCUGUGGUCCCCCUGUUCCUCCCAUGCCAGCGGAGCCCUCGACAGUUAGUAACUCCAGCGAAGCCUGAAAACGCAACACAAGCAGUGCAAAGGCAAUGCCAGUGAUCAAAAGAACCCACCCCGCUUGCUAUGUAGACGGAUAAUAUCAUUUCACUGGGGACCGCUCUCAGUAAGUGGGCUCUUUUUUCUCUGAAGAGCCUGAAUCUGUUCCUCAGGGCUGCUAAAACUGGCCUUGUUCUGCGGUCUGAUCUGCUGGCCGACCUGUGUCUACAUUACUAAAACUGGCCGGGAGCCCUGGCACCGUCCCGCCACGUGGGCCGCCAAAUCGCAAGGCCCUUUCUUUUGAGCAAAUAGCAUCGCACACGUUGCCAUCAAGAAAACGAAAGCAUUCACAGUGGCACAGCGUCCAGCUUCUCUCUGUGGCCUUUUGAAACAGUUUUGUGACCAGGGAGUGGCAAGAAACAAAGGUCUUUCUAUCUGAUCUGCUCACCAGGCCGGCGUCAGAUCAUGCAGGAGCCUGCACCCCUCUUCCCCCGGUACCAUCGGAUUGUUAUCGCUGCGCUUGUCUCCUCUCUCUGAGUAGGACGAGGCAGGCAGGCAGGCAGAGGAAUGUAUUUCAACUGCCCUUGACUCUGUUUAUAAUCAUCAACAUGAAAGGAAGGGAAAGAGAUUCAGUUUAUAGGACUGGCUCUUUGUGUAGCCUAAUUUAUCUCUCUCCAGCAGCAGUGGGCUGAGCAGGUUUCCUUUUUUGUUUCCGAUGCGGGAAGCUGAAAUAUGAAUCUAUGUUGAUGAGAGAAUAAAGGAAUUGAAAGAGGCAUAAGUCUUAUCUUCUCGCAACCCUAGGAGAUCAGCUCUUUGUGACGAAGGGGAUUAUACUUCUGUAAUUAACUGCUUUGCAGCUCCUGGUGAUGGCUCAGGCCUGAAUAAUGGCACCCAGAGAAGUUGGAUAAAAGGCGGGCAGGUGGGUGCAGCCACGAUCAUGAACAACGGUCUCAGGGCUUGACAUCCUUUCCCAGCGCCCAGCUCGCAGAGGGUCAAGCCAGGAGAUAUUUGUCCCCUGUCCCAGCAACAUUCACAGCAGAGAGAAUAGAAUUCCAGAACAAAUAUUUAAAGCUCAUAGAGACCUGUUCCUCUGUAGGCUGGUAGCUGCCCUGAGGUACCUUGAAGACCUAAGCCAGGCUGUACACCCUUUGUGUUCCCGCCAGUGCCCGGGACCUGGUAGGUGCUGACCAAAGCUUGGUGAAGGUGACUGCCCCUUUCCAGCUGUGGGAUUUGGGGAAAGUUGUCUAAUUUCUCUGAUCUUCAGUAUACCAUCCACAAAAUGCAAGGGGUCUUGUAGAGUUUGGGGUAAGAAGAGUUCAGAUCAUGAUAAACAAAUGACUUAUCACAUCGCCUGGCACACAUGGCAAGGGAUCAAUAAAUGCUAGCUGUUAUUAUUACAUUGUGGAAUACAGAUGGGUGGCGAGCUCAUCACUGUUUACGACUGCCUUAUCAUGCAAGGCGCCAUACAUACCUUCGUGCCUGAAAGCCUCACAUCGUCCUUGUCAGGUAAGCAGGAUCCUUCCCCCCAUUUCACUGAUGACAAAACAGGCUCAGACUGGAACAGUGACCUGCUCGAGGUAAAGGGCAGUACAGGAGACUGGAAGCCGGGUGUUCUGUCCUGGGCCCCUCCCCUCCCCUCCACACCAGCCUCCCAGGCCCUCAGCCUGUUCCUCGACAGGUGUGUCUGCCCAUCACUCUCCAGACCUCAUCACCCCAGGAUCAAACCUCUGGGCCAUCUUUUUGCUUCCUUUUUUGCUCCCUGCCUGUGUCACUGAGUCCUAGAGAUUCUUGAGAUGUUUUCAGAACUUCUCCCUACUCAAUCCUGCUGCCACUUAACACUGGCCCAGCACCUGGUCGUUUGAUAACCAGGUUUCCUACAGCGAGCAGGCUCUUGAGUGGUGUCUAAGGGAGGGCGAAGCUCCCUUCCCAUCACCCCCGACACCAGUGCCAGGUGAGUGGUCCCAACCUCCACUUCCCUGUCCUUCC